rnacentral:rRNA from 1 species
GGGUAGUCUCAGCCGUAAACGAUGUUCGCUAGGUGUCAGGGGCGGUGCGACCGCUUCUGGUGCCGUAGGGAAGCCGUGAAGCGAACCACCUGGGAAGUACGAUCGCAAGGUUGAAACUUAAAGGAAUUGGCGGGGGAGCACCACCAGGCGUGAAGCCUGCGGUUUAAUUGGAGUCAACGCCGGGAACCUUACCGGGAGCGACAGCAGAGUGAAGGUCAGAUUGAAGAUCUUACCAGACGAGCUGAGAGGAGGUGCAUGGCCGUCGCCAGUUCGUGCCGUGAGGUGUUAUGUUAAGUCAUAUAACGAACGAGACCCGUGCCGCAUGUUGCCACCAGAAUCUAAAAGGAUUGCUGAGCACUCUUGCGGGACCACAGCCGAUAAGGCUGAGGAAGGUAUGGGCAACGGCAGGUCAGUAUGCCCCGAAUCUCCCGGGCCACACGCGGGGCUGCAAUGGGAUAGACAGAGGGGCUGCCACCCCGAGAGGGGGA